rnacentral:lncRNA from 1 species
AAAUAAUUUUUGUAGUAUAAAAGCUAAAUAAAUUCAUACAUACUGUAAUACAGAUAACCAAAGUAUAAAAUUUAAUUUACAGUGACACGUAGGCCCACGAACGACCAAAAGUAAUGAAGGCUAUGAACCUACAGUUUUUGAGGAUGCAAGUCCAACUAUAGCCCUCAACAAAGUGAGCUAUCUACCGACUAUCCUAAGCCUGAAAGGGGUGGAAAUGAGGGUGGUGAGAUUAUAUAAUCCCAAUGAGUAAACAAAUACCAUCUAAAAUAUCUAAAACUGAGUAAAUGGAGACAAAUAAAAUAGUUUAACAUACUAUAAUUCAUCACCUUUCAACUCAUUUCAACCAAAUAAAAUCAAUACAUAUAAAUCGAGUAAUCAACAUGGCUUAUGAAUUUCUUAAAACUUUGGCUCGUGCCAAAAUCAUUCUCAUACUUAGUUAUCAGGGAUACCUUGGCCGAGGGAUAUCCCAACCGAGUCCGCCAAGGUUGUUAAAAAGUUAUGUAUGCAUAAAUCAUGUUUUUAUUUUAAAAACAUAGUCGUUCCUUGGCAUUGGCUGAGUUCACCCUCACGUGGUGGUUUAGCAUGAAGUGAAAACUAAGGUGUUAACCUCAAGAGUUACCCAUUCGCGUCUCUCAUACUAAGGUAUGAAUAUAAUAGGGUUACCGUGCCCCCUCUAAUAUGUUGGUCCACGGAACCCGUCCACUGCAGCGACUAAUCAAUAACCCAUCAAUUCAAUAAAAUUUAACAGCAUGACAUGGCCAUUUUAUCAUUAUCCAGCCUAUCAAGGCAAACAAUAGUUUAUACAUUUUUAACACAAAUACCAAUUCAGCCAUUCAUGCCAAUAUUGCCAUAAGCCAAUCAAUUAGAACCAUAAAUUCACAAUACAUCAAAUGGUUUCCAAUUACUCUAUUUUCAAAGCCAUCAUUCAAUUUCAAAAUAAAUUAUAAAAUCAUUUCAUUUAAACACAUUUUGUUUAUAAAACAUAAAGAUUUACCAUUUAAACUCAUUUUCCAUAAAAUUACAAAAUCAGAUAAAAACCACUUUAAAUAAUUAAGACGAUAGUAAGGUUACUCACUAUUUCAGAAGUCGAAUUUCGAGUACUUCGAUUCUUGAUCCUCGGGUACUAGCUCUUUACUUUUGCCAGAACGUUCACCACCUAGACAUAAUGCACAAUAAACCAUUUACUACAUUUGUGCUAAAUUGUUAUAAAAUCAAUUCAGGCUCUAUACUAAUGCAUGAAAUAGGAUGUAAAUUGUUCGGAUUAUCAUCAAAAUACAGUGUUCUACACAAAUUCAAUUGUGUACCUAAAUAAAACGGUAUUGGCCUAAUUCGAUCUAUCACACGAUUAAUUGGCCAAUAUGUCCAAUUUAACUCCAAUUAACUCCAUUUUUCUUCCAAUUCUCCAAAUCAUCAAACACAAGUUAAAUAACUUGAAAUAUGGUAAAAUCAUCCUCACAUUUUUUCUUGGAAAAUUCGGCCAUGGUGGGUGCAUCAAUACUAUGAUUUUUCCUAUAUUCUCACACCAUAAAUCACUAAUUCCUAACCAGAUCACUGGAAAUAAAAUCAAAAUCAUCCUCAAUAUUCCACAUGGAGAAUUCGGCCAAUGAUGGGUGAUGGGAGAAAAUGAAUUUUUCUUGUUGGCUUUUCAUUCUACACAUCACUAACUAACUAAAAACACUAAAUAUCUUAAAAUCUAACCAAAUCAAGCAUCAAAACUCCUCCCCCCAUGUCUAGCCAGCAAGGGUAUCCCCAUGCAAACUUGAUUCUCAACCGUGGAAAAUGAAAAAGAAUGCAUAAGAAAGGUAGAUCACAAGUUAUAAUUGAAAAAUCUUACCUUUUGUCGCUUGUUUCCUUGAAUUUUCGCACUUUUCCCUUUUUGUUCUUCUUUUC